rnacentral:rRNA from 1 species
UACGGGAGGCAGCAGGUGGGGAAUAUUGCACAAUGGGCGCAAGCCUGAUGCAGCCAUGCCGCGUGUAUGAAGAAGGCCUUCGGGUUGUAAAGUACUUUCAGUCGUGAGGAAGGUGUUAAGGUUAAUAACCUUAGCAAUUGACGUUAGCGACAGAAGAAGCACCGGCUAACUCCGUGCCAGCAGCCGCGGUAAUACGGAGGGUGCGAGCGUUAAUCGGAAUUACUGGGCGUAAAGGGCACGCAGGCGGUUAAUUAAGUUGGAUGUGAAAUCCCCGGGCUUAACCUGGGAAUGGCAUUCAAGACUGGUUAGCUAGAGUCUUGUAGAGGGGGUAGGAAAUUCCAUGUGUAGCGGUGAAAUGCGUAGAGAUGUGGAGGAAAUACCGGUGGCGAAGGCGGCCCCUGGGCAAAAGACUGACGCUCAUGUGCGAAAAGCGUGGGGAGGCAAACAGGAUUAGAUACC